rnacentral:miRNA from 1 species
GAGGCACUGUCCGAGAGUGAGUAGCAGGUCUCACAGUGAACCGGUCUCUUUCCCUACUGUGUC